rnacentral:rRNA from 1 species
GAUGAACGCUGGCGGCGUGCCUAAUACAUGCAAGUCGAGCGAACGGACGAGAAGCUUGCUCCUCUGAUGUUAGCGGCGGACGGGUGAGUAACACGUGGAUAACCUACCUAUAAGACUGGGAUAACUUCGGGAAACCGGAGCUAAUACCGGAUAAUAUAUUGAACCGCAUGGUUCAAUAGUGAAAGACGGUCUUGCUGUCACUUAUAGAUGGAUCCGCGCUGCAUUAGCUAGUUGGUAAGGUAACGGCUUACCAAGGCAACGAUGCAUAGCCGACCUGAGAGGGUGAUCGGCCACACUGGAACUGAGACACGGUCCAGACUCCUACGGGAGGCAGCAGUAGGGAAUCUUCCGCAAAGGGCGAAAGCCUGACGGAGCAACGCCGCGUGAGUGAUGAAGGUCUUCGGAUCGUAAAACUCUGUUAUUAGGGAAGAACAAAUGUGUAAGUAACUGUGCACAUCUUGACGGUACCUAAUCAGAAAGCCACGGCUAACUACGUG